rnacentral:rRNA from 1 species
AUUGAACGCUGGCGGCAGGCUUAACACAUGCAAGUCGAGCGGGGAAAGGUAGCUUGCUCCCUGACCUAGCGGCGGACGGGUGAGUAAUGCUUAGGAAUCUGCCUAUUAGUGGGGGACAACAUCUCGAAAGGGAUGCUAAUACCGCAUACGUCCUACGGGAGAAAGCAGGGGACCUUCGGGCCUUGCGCUAAUAGAUGAGCCUAAGUCGGAUUAGCUAGUUGGUGGGGUAAAGGCCUACCAAGGCGACGAUCUGUAGCGGGUCUGAGAGGAUGAUCCGCCACACUGGGACUGAGACACGGCCCAGACUCCUACGGGUGGCAGCAGUGGGGAAUAUUGGACAAUGGGGGGAACCCUGAUCCAGCCAUGCCGCGUGUGUGAAGAAGGCCUUUUGGUUGUAAAGCACUUUAAGCGAGGAGGAGGCUACCGAGAUUAAUACUCUUGGAUAGUGGACGUUACUCGCAGAAUAAGCACCGGCUAACUCUGUG